AUACGGAGGGGGCUAGCGUUGUUCGGAAUUACUGGGCGUAAAGGGCACGUAGGCGGACCAGCCAGUCAGGCGUGAAAGCCCCGGGCUUAACCUGGGAACUGCGCUUGAUACUGCUGGUCUAGAGUCCGGGAGAGGGUAGCGGAAUUUCCAGUGUAGAGGUGAAAUUCGUAGAUAUUGGAAAGAACACCAGUGGCGAAGGCGGCUACCUGGCUCGAUAUUGACGCUGAGGUGCGAAAGCGUGGGGAGCAAACAGGAUUAGAAACCCUGGUAGUCC
rnacentral:rRNA from 1 species